rnacentral:rRNA from 2 species
UUAAGCGACUAAGCGUACACGGUGGAUGCCCUGGCAGUCAGAGGCGAUGAAGGACGUGCUAAUCUGCGAUAAGCGUCGGUAAGGUGAUAUGAACCGUUAUAACCGGCGAUUUCCGAAUGGGGAAACCCAGUGUGUUUCGACACACUAUCAUUAACUGAAUCCAUAGGUUAAUGAGGCGAACCGGGGGAACUGAAACAUCUAAGUACCCCGAGGAAAAGAAAUCAACCGAGAUUCCCCCAGUAGCGGCGAGCGAACGGGGAGGAGCCCAGAGCCUGAAUCAGUGUGUGUGUUAGUGGAAGCGUCUGGAAAGGCGCGCGAUACAGGGUGACAGCCCCGUACACAAAAAUGCACAUACUGUGAGCUCGAUGAGUAGGGCGGGACACGUGGUAUCCUGUCUGAAUAUGGGGGGACCAUCCUCCAAGGCUAAAUACUCCUGACUGACCGAUAGUGAACCAGUACCGUGAGGGAAAGGCGAAAAGAACCCCGGCGAGGGGAGUGAAAAAGAACCUGAAACCGUGUACGUACAAGCAGUGGGAGCACAGAGCAAUCUGUGUGACUGCGUACCUUUUGUAUAAUGGGUCAGCGACUUAUAUUCUGUAGCAAGGUUAACCGAAUAGGGGAGCCGAAGGGAAACCGAGUCUUAACUGGGCGUUAAGUUGCAGGGUAUAGACCCGAAACCCGGUGAUCUAGCCAUGGGCAGGUUGAAGGUUGGGUAACACUAACUGGAGGACCGAACCGACUAAUGUUGAAAAAUUAGCGGAUGACUUGUGGCUGGGGGUGAAAGGCCAAUCAAACCGGGAGAUAGCUGGUUCUCCCCGAAAGCUAUUUAGGUAGCGCCUCGUGAAUUCAUCUCCGGGGGUAGAGCACUGUUUCGGCAAGGGGGUCAUCCCGACUUACCAACCCGAUGCAAACUGCGAAUACCGGAGAAUGUUAUCACGGGAGACACACGGCGGGUGCUAACGUCCGUCGUGAAGAGGGAAACAACCCAGACCGCCAGCUAAGGUCCCAAAGUCAUGGUUAAGUGGGAAACGAUGUGGGAAGGCCCAGACAGCCAGGAUGUUGGCUUAGAAGCAGCCAUCAUUUAAAGAAAGCGUAAUAGCUCACUGGUCGAGUCGGCCUGCGCGGAAGAUGUAACGGGGCUAAACCAUGCACCGAAGCUGCGGCAGCGACACUGUGUGUUGUUGGGUAGGGGAGCGUUCUGUAAGCCUGUGAAGGUGUGCUGUGAGGCAUGCUGGAGGUAUCAGAAGUGCGAAUGCUGACAUAAGUAACGAUAAAGCGGGUGAAAAGCCCGCUCGCCGGAAGACCAAGGGUUCCUGUCCAACGUUAAUCGGGGCAGGGUGAGUCGACCCCUAAGGCGAGGCCGAAAGGCGUAGUCGAUGGGAAACAGGUUAAUAUUCCUGUACUUGGUGUUACUGCGAAGGGGGGACGGAGAAGGCUAUGUUGGCCGGGCGACGGUUGUCCCGGUUUAAGCGUGUAGGCUGGUUUUCCAGGCAAAUCCGGAAAAUCAAGGCUGAGGCGUGAUGACGAGGCACUACGGUGCUGAAGCAACAAAUGCCCUGCUUCCAGGAAAAGCCUCUAAGCAUCAGGUAACAUCAAAUCGUACCCCAAACCGACACAGGUGGUCAGGUAGAGAAUACCAAGGCGCUUGAGAGAACUCGGGUGAAGGAACUAGGCAAAAUGGUGCCGUAACUUCGGGAGAAGGCACGCUGAUAUGUAGGUGAAGUCCCUCGCGGAUGGAGCUGAAAUCAGUCGAAGAUACCAGCUGGCUGCAACUGUUUAUUAAAAACACAGCACUGUGCAAACACGAAAGUGGACGUAUACGGUGUGACGCCUGCCCGGUGCCGGAAGGUUAAUUGAUGGGGUCAGCGCAAGCGAAGCUCUUGAUCGAAGCCCCGGUAAACGGCGGCCGUAACUAUAACGGUCCUAAGGUAGCGAAAUUCCUUGUCGGGUAAGUUCCGACCUGCACGAAUGGCGUAAUGAUGGCCAGGCUGUCUCCACCCGAGACUCAGUGAAAUUGAACUCGCUGUGAAGAUGCAGUGUACCCGCGGCAAGACGGAAAGACCCCGUGAACCUUUACUAUAGCUUGACACUGAACAUUGAGCCUUGAUGUGUAGGAUAGGUGGGAGGCUUUGAAGUGUGGACGCCAGUCUGCAUGGAGCCGACCUUGAAAUACCACCCUUUAAUGUUUGAUGUUCUAACGUGGACCCGUGAUCCGGGUUGCGGACAGUGUCUGGUGGGUAGUUUGACUGGGGCGGUCUCCUCCUAAAGAGUAACGGAGGAGCACGAAGGUUGGCUAAUCCUGGUCGGACAUCAGGAGGUUAGUGCAAUGGCAUAAGCCAGCUUGACUGCGAGCGUGACGGCGCGAGCAGGUGCGAAAGCAGGUCAUAGUGAUCCGGUGGUUCUGAAUGGAAGGGCCAUCGCUCAACGGAUAAAAGGUACUCCGGGGAUAACAGGCUGAUACCGCCCAAGAGUUCAUAUCGACGGCGGUGUUUGGCACCUCGAUGUCGGCUCAUCACAUCCUGGGGCUGAAGUAGGUCCCAAGGGUAUGGCUGUUCGCCAUUUAAAGUGGUACGCGAGCUGGGUUUAGAACGUCGUGAGACAGUUCGGUCCCUAUCUGCCGUGGGCGCUGGAGAACUGAGGGGGGCUGCUCCUAGUACGAGAGGACCGGAGUGGACGCAUCACUGGUGUUCGGGUUGUCAUGCCAAUGGCACUGCCCGGUAGCUAAAUGCGGAAGAGAUAAGUGCUGAAAGCAUCUAAGCACGAAACUUGCCCCGAGAUGAGUUCUCCCUGACCCUUUAAGGGUCCUGAAGGAACGUUGAAGACGACGACGUUGAUAGGCCGGGUGUGUAAGCGCAGCGAUGCGUUGAGCUAACCGGUACUAAUGAACCGUGAGGCUUAACCUU